rnacentral:tmRNA from 1 species
GGGGGCGAUCGGCUUCGACGUGGGUCGCGAACCCUUAAGUGCAUGCCGAGGGGCAGCUUACCUCGUAAAUCCAACUGCAAACCUUAUAGUUGCCAACGACGACAACUACGCCCUAGCUGCUUAAAAACCAGCCUAGUGCCUUCUGCCCGGUUCGUGCUUGUGCGUCCGGAUCCAGGAGUCAUCAUCGCAAGCUCGCGGAAUGGCACGUCUGGGGCCUGCACGUUAAAACCUCACCAGACUGGCUGUGAGUUUUCCCUGCCCGUCGGGUAGCUCUCAGUAAGAUUAAAGGCGGACUAAGCAUGUAGAGCUUGAGGCAGAGGGCU